rnacentral:rRNA from 1 species
UUAGGGAUCUUGCGCAAUGGGCGGAAGCCUGACGCAGCGACGCCGCGUGGGGGAAGACGGCAUUCGUGUUGUAAACCCCUUUUCACAGGGACGAGGAUGGACGGUACCUGUGGAAGAAGCACCGGCUAACCCCGUGCCAGCAGCCGCGGUAAUACGGGGGGUGCGAGCGUUGUCCGGAUUCACUGGGCGUAAAGGGCGCGUAGGCGGCUGGAUCAGUCUGAUCUUUAAGGUGUGGGCUUACCCUGCACAUGGAUUGGGGACGGUCGAGCUGGGGGCCAGUCGAGGGAAGCGGAAUGCCGGGUGUAGUGGUGAAAUGCGUAGAGAUCCGGCGGAACACCGGUGGUGAAGACGGCUUCCUGGGCUGGAACCGACGCUGAGGCGCGAGAGCGCGGGGAGCGAACCGG